rnacentral:rRNA from 1 species
GACGAAAGCUGGCGGCGUGCCUAACACAUGCAAGUCGAACGGAAUUAGAGAGCUUGCUCUUUAAUUUAGUGGAGCACGGGUGAGUAACGCGUAGAUAAUCUGCCCGACGAUCCGGGAUAACAGUUCGAAAGGACUGCUAAUAACGGAUAAGCCAACGGGUUCUUUGGAAUCUGCGGGAAAAGGGGGGGACCUUCGGACCUUCUGUCGUCGGAUGAGUCUGCGUACCAUUAGCUAGUUGGUAGGGUAAAGGCCUACCAAGGCUACGAUGGUUAGCUGGUCUGGGAGGAGUAUAAGCCCCACUGGAACUGAGACACGGUCCAGACUCCUACGGGAGGCAGCAGUGGGGAAUUUUGCGCAAGGGGCGAAAGCCGGACGCAGCAACGCCGCGUGAGUGAUGAAGGCUUUCGGGUCGUAAAGCUCUGUCAGAGGGAAAGAAGUGUAUUGUGGCUAAUAUCCGCGAUACUUGACGGUACCCUCAAAGGAAGCACCGGCUAACUCCGUGCCAGCCGCCGCUGUAAUAC